GAACGUUGUUCGGAAUCACUGGGCUUAAAGGGCGCGUAGGCGGGCCGCCGCGUCCGGGGUGAAAUCCUCCCGCUCAACGGGAGAACGGCCUCGGAUACGGGCGGCCUGGAGGGGGGUAGGGGCACGCGGAACUGUGGGUGGAGCGGUGAAAUGCGUUGAGAUCCACAGGAACUCCGGUGGCGAAGGCGGCCUGCUGGGCAGUUUUGCUGACACUGAGGCGCGACAGCGUGGGGAGCAAACAGG
rnacentral:rRNA from 1 species